rnacentral:misc_RNA from 1 species
UACGAAGGUGGCGAGCGUUACUCGGAAUUACUAGGCGUAAAGCGUAGGUAGGUGGUCGAGAAAGUCUGCUGUGAAAGCUCCUGGCUUAACCGGGAGAGGUCAGUGGAAACUUCUUGACUUGAGUGUAGGAGAGGGUACUGGAAUUCCCGGAGUAGCGGUGAAAUGCGCAGAGAUCGGGAGGAACACCAAAGGCGAAAGCAGGUACCUGGACUAUUACUGACACUGAGCUACGAAAGCUAGGGGAGCAAACAGG